rnacentral:tRNA from 1 species
GCCGAAGUAGCUCAGCUGGUAGAGCAACGCUCUCGUAAAGCGUAGGUCGUCGGUUCGAAUCCGAUCUUCGGCU